AGAGUUCCAUUCUGGCUCAGGAUGAACGCUGGCGGCGCGCCUAACACAUGCAAGUCGAACGGCACCCCUCUCCGGAGGGAAGCGAGUGGCGAACGGCUGAGUAACACGUGGAGAACCUGCCCCCUCCCCCGGGAUAGCCGCCCGAAAGGACGGGUAAUACCGGAUACCCCCGGGCGCCGCAUGGCGCCCGGGCUAAAGCCCCGACGGGAGGGGAUGGCUCCGCGGCCCAUCAGGUAGACGGCGGGGUGACGGCCCACCGUGCCGACAACGGGUAGCCGGGUUGAGAGACCGACCGGCCAGAUUGGGACUGAGACACGGCCCAGACUCCUACGGGAGGCAGCAGUGGGGAAUCUUGCGCAAUGGGGGGAACCCUGACGCAGCGACGCCGCGUGCGGGACGGAGGCCUUCGGGUCGUAAACCGCUUUCAGCAGGGAAGAGUCAAGACUGUACCUGCAGAAGAAGCCCCGGCUAACUACGUGCCAGCAGCCGCGGUAAUACGUAGGGGGCGAGCGUUAUCCGGAUUCAUUGGCGUAAAGCGCGCGUAGGCGGCCCGGCAGGCCGGGGGUCGAAGCGGGGGGCUCAACCCCCCGAAGCCCCCGGAACCUCCGCGGCUUGGGUCCGGUAGGGGAGGGUGGAACACCCGGUGUAGCGGUGGAAUGCGCAGAUAUCGGGUGGAACACCGGUGGCGAAGGCGGCCCUCUGGGCCGAGACCGACGCUGAGGCGCGAAAGCUGGGGGAGCGAACAGGAUUAGAUACCCUGGUAGUCCCAGCCGUAAAU
rnacentral:rRNA from 1 species